rnacentral:rRNA from 1 species
UACGUAGGUGGCGAGCGUUGUCCGGAAUUACUGGGUGUAAAGCGCGUGUAGGCGGGAGGCCAAGUCUGCGGUGAAAUCGCUCGGCUCAACUGGGCGGGGUCCGUGGAAACUGGUCACCUGGAGGACGGUAGAGGCGAGUGGAAUUCCCGGUGUAGUGGUGAAAUGCGUAGAGAUCGGGAGGAACACCAGUGGCGAAGGCGGCUCGCUGGGCCGGACCUGACGCUGAGGAACGAAAGCGUGGGGAGCGAACAGG